UUCUUUUCCUUGAAUCUGAACAAUCUUACAACAGUUGCUAAUAGCUAGUUUCAGCAUAAUACUUAUCUGUUGUAAUUACUGCAAAGCAUAUGUGCAUUAUCUAGUAAAAUCUGUCCAAAAUGACUGAGUUGAAAAUGGAUUGUCUCCAGACUUGAGUAUACUUUCAGGUGCGAAAGGCGCUAACAAGUUUCUGCUGUUAGUAGAUUAGUUCAUUUAUUAUUUUGGUGUCCUGACUGUAACUUCAUUUUUCUCAAUAUUCGGGCAAGUAAACAUUUUGACCUUCUUUCCUUUUAAGUUGCUCGGCUGCUUCUUAUUCAACAUUCUAUUCUAAAUCUAAAUCCCUGCUUUUGUGCUUAAGCAUAACAUGAGGCUACCGUAUUAUUGGCAAGCAGUCUAUUUAUUCACAUCUCGUCAAUAUGUUAACAUAGACAUUUAUCAUUUAUUUAAGAAACAAUUUACAUGUGGAAACAACCCCCCGUUAUGCCAUGGGAUUGCUUCCCAACACAUCUGAUGGGGCCAAUGUAGCUUCUACAUCUGCUCGAGGCCAGCAGUCUGUAAUCUUGAUUUGAGGCGCAGCUGAUGAAUCAGGGCUGUGAUACCCCCACAACACAUCUGAUGGAUCCAUUGUAGCAUGUAUUUGUGGUGUGAGGAAGGCUCGUGAUAUUGACUUGAGGAGGGGCAGCUGAUGGAUCAGGGCUCGACUAAAUGGCAGGAACUAAUGUACAGUUCAGUGCAUUUUGUUAGUUUAGUCUGCAGACUUUCUGCACUAGCCCAAGUAAGCUUUCAAAUUGCUCGUGAAAAAAAGGCUGAAGGUCAUUUGUUGUCUGUUCGGACCAUCUAGAAUGGCAUAAACCGUUCAUUAUGGUUUGGAGAUUCAUAAACCGUUCAUUAUGGUUUGGAGAUUCGCUUUCAAUUUUUAAUUUUUCUCUCACCCCUAGUUGCUCUUAAUCAGAAGUCAUGUAACAGUAUAAUAAUGUUUCUCUUGGACUCAAUCAUGAAGGUUCUAGAACUACAGUUUUAACUAUAAUAUAACUCAACAACAUGUAUGCAUAACUGUAGCUAAAGCAAUAACAUUGUAGCACGAUACGCCUGAGGCUGUUUUUUUUUUUGAAACAAUGGGCUCUCCCCAUCGAUUUCCAUUAAAGAAACCGCCCCAGUUAGUCACACAGUCUUCAAACAAAACAAAAAGAGGUUCCGGACUGAAACACAGUACCACACUACAGGAAAUUUAUUACAAAACUCCAGAACAGGAGGCAACGAAACUACAGCACCCUACACCAGGAACGCCUGAACAGCACACCAUCAGCCUGUGAUCCUCCUUCCCAGCGGCGCGCAUCCUUGACGCCUGGAGAAGGCUUCGACCAGAACUUGUCUAAUCCUCUCGCUCCCGUCCUCCAAGCCUUUUUUGCUUCGAUCUGCAAUAGAGCCCAUGAGUUCAGAUUAUGACACAGGUUGAAGAUAAUUGCUGCAGGAUCCUGCGGGUACUGCUUCCUGAAGCAGGCAUUGUUCCUACUCUUCCAAAGGGUCCACAGAAUUGCAGCUGCACCACAAAAUGCCAGCUUUCGAUGGCCCGGGGGGAAAGAAGCUCCCCAUGAUCCUACCAGAUUCUCCAUCGACACUGCACAAAAGAAGCACUGAGCAUUACCAGUCCAUCCUCUUCUGAGCAGAUUAUCCUUAGUUAGGAUACUGUUUCUCAGAGCAAGCCACAGGAAAAAUCUUGAUCUUGUGAGGUAUCUUCAAAGUCCAAAUGAAUCUGUAUCCAACCAUAGCACCAGCUUUCAAGUGAAGAUACAGGGAUCUCACUGAAAACUGUUCAGAGCU